GUUGAAAUAAUUUAUUAAAAAAUAUUGAUUUUGUAAAUCAAAUUUGGUUAAGCCUUUCAACU
rnacentral:tRNA from 1 species